AUUGAACGCUGGCGGCAGGCUUAACACAUGCAAGUCGAGCGGGGAAGAGUAGCUUGCUACUUAACCUAGCGGCGGACGGGUGAGUAAUGCUUAGGAAUCUGCCUAUUAGUGGGGGACAACAUCUCGAAAGGGAUGCUAAUACCGCAUACGUCCUACGGGAGAAAGCAGGGGACCUUCGGGCCUUGCGCUAAUAGAUGAGCCUAAGUCGGAUUAGCUAGUUGGUGGGGUAAAGGCCUACCAAGGCGACGAUCUGUAGCGGGGCUGAGAGGAUGAUCCGCCCCACUGGGACUGAGACACGGCCCAGACUCCUACGGGAGGCGGCAGUGGGGAAUAUUGGACAAUGGGGGGAGCCCUGAUCUAGCCAUGCCGCGUGUGUGAAGAAGGCCUUUUGGUUGUAAAGCACUUUAAGCGAGGAGGAGGCUACCGAGAUUAAUACUCUUGGAUAGUGGACGUUACUCGCAGAAUAAGCACCGGCUAACUCUGUGCCAGCCGCCGCAGUAACAC
rnacentral:rRNA from 1 species